GAACAAACUUCAGAAGGAGGAGAGACACGGGGCCCAGGGCACCCUCGCGGGCGGACCCAAGAAGUGAGGGCCUGCAGCCGGCCGGCCAGGGCAGCUGCAGGCGCGGCCGGGACCUACGUGAGUAAGCCCCGAGCCCUCCGCGGGCUGCGAGAGACUCCCCGGCGAUGCCUCACAACUCCAUCAGAUCUGGCCAUGGAGGGCUGAACCAGCUGGGAGGGGCCUUUGUGAACGGCAGACCCCUGCCAGAAGUGGUCCGCCAGCGCAUUGUAGACCUGGCCCACCAGGGUGUGAGGCCCUGCGACAUCUCUCGCCAGCUCCGCGUCAGCCAUGGCUGCGUCAGCAAGAUCCUCGGCAGGUACUACGAGACUGGCAGCAUCCGGCCUGGAGUGAUAGGGGGCUCCAAGCCCAAGGUGGCCACCCCCAAGGUGGUGGAGAAGAUUGGGGACUACAAACGCCAGAACCCUACCAUGUUUGCCUGGGAGAUCCGAGACCGGCUCCUGGCUGAGGGCGUCUGUGACAAUGACACUGUGCCCAGUGUCAGCUCCAUUAAUAGAAUCAUCCGGACCAAAGUGCAGCAACCAUUCAACCUCCCUAUGGACAGCUGCGUGGCCACCAAGUCCCUGAGUCCCGGGCACACGCUGAUCCCCAGCUCAGCUGUAACUCCCCCGGAGUCACCCCAGUCGGAUUCCCUGGGCUCCACCUACUCCAUCAAUGGGCUCCUGGGCAUCGCUCAGCCUGGCAGCGACAAGAGGAAAAUGGAUGACAGUGAUCAGGAUAGCUGCCGAUUGAGCAUUGACUCACAGAGCAGCAGCAGCGGACCCCGAAAGCACCUUCGCACGGAUGCCUUCAGCCAGCACCACCUCGAGCCACUCGAGUGCCCAUUUGAGCGGCAGCACUACCCGGAGGCCUAUGCCUCUCCCAGCCACACCAAAGGCGAGCAGGUGAGAAGCUGGGUCCUGGGAGGUGAACAGGGUGGGCAAGGGCCGGAGAAGGUCUGUUCUCCAAAUGAGCCUCUGCUCCACCAAAGCAGCUGGAAGUUGCAUCAGUGGGCUCAGGGCAUCUGCCUUAUGCAACUCCAAGCCUGACACAUGCUUUAUUUUACCAGAUGCCCUGGCAUCUUCCUCUCUUUCUAACCCUCCUGGCUUCCUUCACCCAAAACCUUUGAGCUUGGGCCUUUCAGGGAUGGCAGCACAACCUGAUGAUGCUAUCCCUUGCCAUCAGCAUCUUUCCCAGACUGCGACAUCAGGUUCCACAACUCUGAAGCAGUAGCACAAAGCCUUCACAUAAUGACCUCAGCCACCACUUCCUAGCCCCACCUUUGGCCACUCAUCCUGGCCCCGAGCACGCCACCCUCGCUCACACCUCUCUGCCCUUGCACACCGUGUG
rnacentral:sRNA from 1 species